ACUAAUAAUAUUUAAAAAAUAAUAUUUAGCAGAGAACAAUAUUUAGUAGAGAUAUUUAGUCUUAGUAACAUGAGAACCUCAUGAAGUCUUUGAUUGGUAGAAGCUGUAAAAUUUAAUUAUUUUGCUUUAGAAUAUAAGUUGCAAGUUUCUCUGUUGUAGCUAUAGAAUCUAUUGAUGCAAUUUUGUAUCAAUAACUUUCAAAGUACUAAAUAUAAAAUUUUAGAAAAUUUUAUUUUCAUAGCCAAUCUAUUUUUCAAUUUAAUUGUACCUUUAAAUUGUUUUCUUAAAGCAUGACUGGUAAACUAAAGUAGUUGUGGAAAAAAGUGUGGAAAGCAUUUAGAGUACUUACCAAUCACCUUCGAAAACUAUUGUAUUUUUCUCAACAUUGGUGAAAUUUCAGAAAAAAAUAUUCAAUAAGCAAUUAACUGUUUACCUUUUAUCAAGAUAUUUACAAAAAAAAACGAUUUAUUGUAUCCAACAUUUUUGAAAUUGGAAGAAAAAUUUCAGCAACCCAUUUUAGUUUUCAUGUAUACUUCUAGAAAGAUUAGUUUUCUUGGUAAGAACUUAAACUCUUAGCCACUAAUUAUACAAUAUGAAUCAGAAAGAUAGAAUGAACAUAAGAAUUAAAGGAAAUCAAAAUUUUAAAUGAUUUAAAUUUUAACCUUUUUUUUGCAGUGAUAAUAUUUUAAAUAAUUUAUUCUAUCAUUAUUUACGUUUUACAUUCUAAUAAUUAAACUUUAUAAUUUACAUUUCCCAUAGUUUCCAAUACUAUAUAUUUAAAUAUAAUAACAUAAUAUUUUAAAAUAAAUUAAAAUUUAUGGAAAUAAAUCCGGGCGUAGCCCGGGAAAAACUCUAGUAUAUAUAAUGGGACAGUUUUCUCUCCAUAUAGAGCACCACGUAUGCAAAUCAUAAAGUGUAUGGGUCCCACAUUUAUUUCCGAGUUGGGUUUAGCUAAGAUACAUUUUCAUUAUGUUAAUUUCCUUUAAUUGUUAACGUGUUUUUAAUUUAGUUUGGUAUUUUGGUUAGGUAAUGCUACAAGUCCAAUAAAGAAAUCCAAUUUAUCUGCCAGCCCAUUGUAGCCCAAACAAAUCAAAACUCUGCGUUUCAGGUUCGAGUCGAUUAGGUUUGGAGUCGUCUCCACCAUAUUCGACGAUUCAACAUAUCUCUCUUCCUCUAAACUUUCCACCUCCCCUAUAUCUUCAUGUCCGUCUCUUCCUUACCUUAUUCAACGUUUCUGCAACCUAUACAAUGAAUCUUCUGUUUACAUUAACUCCACCAAACUCUAUGUCUCCCUCCUUUUACAUUCAAAGCUUCAUGCGUAUCUAAACCGGAUGCACCUCAAACCCUAUAAAUAGGAGAGCGUUGAGAGUGGAAUCAAGCAGCACCAACACGAUCUCUCAGUUUGUUUUCUCUCCAAACCCUACAAUCUUCCUAGGAAAAUGAUUUCAUGUUGCCCAAUCAAAGAGAAGAACGGAGAAUCAAGAAAAACAGAGAAAACAAAAAAAUUCACUCCAAAUCAUCCUAGGUUCACCUUCUCAACAAUCAGUGAUGACAUGUAAUUUGGCACUCAGGCAGAGAGUGGCAGCAGCAACCCUGUUCGAUUUCAGCCAGGUUUGAUUUUUAUGUAUUUUAAUUUUACUGGAACACGAUUGAAAGAUUAAAAAUAUUUGGCUUUGGUUUAGAUAAUGAAACUUUAGAUAAGAUUUUUGUAUAUUUAUGUAUCUUUUUUUAUGUGUUUCAAUAUCGUAAUACAUCGCUUGAUCAUCCAUAUCUUUGUAGAUAUUUAGGGAAGAUGUAGCAAUAUAAAUGUUUUGAGUAAUCAUCUGCUUCAAAACCCAAAUUUAUCAGAUGCCAACAGAGAGGUGAGAAUUUGAUUUUGCUGUAUUUGUUGUCCCUAUCCCAACUGAGUUUUUCAGCUUGCUACCUCUUUAGUCUUUAACACAACUACUACCAAUUUCCAAACUAACCACUUUACAACUACUCAGGGACACGAUUGUGUGUCUAAGUGUUUUUGAGGCCUUGCGGACUCCUACACAAGAAAUUGGAAGCAACUCGGUUUCUCUAUCCGAGUCUUCGGGUAAGGAUACGGUUGUAGCGAAGGAAAGCAAAUUUUCUGGAGCAAGAAGAGGCUCUAACGCUGACGUGGAAGAAAAAUAAGAUUUGUUCUGUUCAGACCAUCUGGCAAGUAAAGUAAAGUAAAGUAAAGUAAAAUAGAGCUUGAAUGUAUAACAAACAGAGUUUUGAGGGUUGAUUUUGUUGUGUGUUUAUUUUGGAAAAGCAGGUGGUUGUUCUUAGAGUAUCUCUUCACUGUCACUGUAGAGGCAAAGUGAAGAGACAUCUAUCUAGGAUGCAAUGUCAAUCUCUUCUUAUCAUUUUUCCUUUCACCAAGGAUUUUCCUUCUCAUCCAUUUACGAUAUUCGAAAAUGUGUUUUUUUUGUCUUCUAGCUGUUUCAUAAGAAGCUCAUGUCUGAUACAAGAAUGCACAGUCGCUGGUGACAUUGGCAACUUCGUACACAUAUGACAACGAGAAGGUUUACACAUAGUAGGUACAAUAGUCAAUAAAGCCGGGUAUGGUACAUGGUGCUAUAAAAAAAAUCAAUUAGAUCAUGAUCAUGUCCUGUACAUAUUAGGACCUCGCAGUAUCUAGUCUCAGAGCAACCUCUGUUGCUUACAAGCUUAAUAAGAUCUUAAGCUCGGCCCUCAUUGAUAUUUUUUUUCCAAUGCUUCAUGUUUGUUGUCAUUUGGAUAAUAUUUUCUAUAUUUUGUCAAAUUUCUUUGCAUUUAGAAAAAUGCAAGAGUUAUGAGUU